GACGAACGCUGGCGGCGUGCUUAACACAUGCAAGUCGAACGGAAAGGCCCUGCUUUUGUGGGGUGCUCGAGUGGCGAACGGGUGAGUAACACGUGAGUAACCUGCCCUUGACUUUGGGAUAACUUCAGGAAACUGGGGCUAAUACCGGAUAGGAGCUCCUGCUGCAUGGUGGGGGUUGGAAAGUUUCGGCGGUUGGGGAUGGACUCGCGGCUUAUCAGCUUGUUGGUGGGGUAGUGGCUUACCAAGGCUUUGACGGGUAGCCGGCCUGAGAGGGUGACCGGCCACAUGGGGACUGAGGUACGGCCCAGACUCCUACGGGAGGCAGCAGUGGGGAAUAUUGCACAAUGGGCGGAAGCCUGAUGCAACAACGCCGCGUGCGGGAUGACGGCCUUCGGGUUAUAAACCGCUUUCGCCUGUGACGAAGCGUGAGUGACGGUAAUGGGUAAAGAAGCACCGGCUAACUACGUG
rnacentral:rRNA from 1 species